UGGCGGCGUGCCUAAUACAUGCAAGUCGAGCGCAGGAAACAAGUAGAUCCCUUCGGGGUGACGCUUGUGGAAUGAGCGGCGGACGGGUGAGUAACACGUGGGCAACCUACCUUGUAGACUGGGAUAACUCCGGGAAACCGGAGCUAAUACGGGAUGAUCAUUUGAAUCGCAUGAUUGAAAUGUAAAAGUGGGGAGUAAUCCUCACACUAUGAGAUGGGCCCGCGGCGCAUUAGCUAGUUGGUAAGGUAAUGGCUUACCAAGGCAACGAUGCGUAGCCGACCUGAGAGGGUGAUCGGCCACACUGGAACUGAGACACGGUCCAGACUCCUACGGGAGGCAGCAGUAGGGAAUCAUCCGCAAUGGGCGAAAGCCUGACGGUGCAACGCCGCGUGAACGAUGAAGGUUUUCGGAUCGUAAAGUUCUGUUAUGAGGGAAGAACAAGUGCCGUUCGAAUAGGGCGGCACCUUGACGGUACCUCACGAGAAAGCCCCGGCUAACUACGUG
rnacentral:rRNA from 1 species